UAUAUUUGCACAUUCAAUAAUAAUGAAUUAUUGAUAUACAUAAUAAUCAUUUAAAUAAUAUUGGCAUG
rnacentral:ncRNA from 1 species